AACGAACGCUGGCGGCAGGCUUAACACAUGCAAGUCGAGCGCCCCGCAAGGGGAGCGGCAGACGGGUGAGUAACGCGUGGGAAUCUACCCAUCUCUACGGAAUAACGCAUGGAAACGUGUGCUAAUACCGUAUACGUCCUUCGGGAGAAAGAUUUAUCGGAGGUGGAUGAGCCCGCGGUGGAUUAGCUAGUUGGUGGGGUAAAGGCCUACCAAGGCGACGAUCCAUGGCUGGUCUGAGAGGAUGAUCAGCAACACUGGGACUGAGCCGCGGCCCAGACUCCUACGGGAGGCAGCAGUGGGGAAUAUUGGACAAUGGGCGCAAGCCUGAUCCAGCCAUGCCGCGUGAGUGAUGAAGGCCCUAGGGUUGUAAAGCUCUUUCACCGGUGAAGAUAAUGACGGUAACCGGAGAAGAAGCCCCGGCUAACUUCGUGCCAGCCGCCGCCGUAAUAC
rnacentral:rRNA from 1 species